CCUACGGGAGGCAGCAGUGGGGAAUAUUGGACAAUGGGGGGAACCCUGAUCCAGCGACGCCGCGUGAGUGAAGAAGUAUUUCGGUAUGUAAAGCUCUAUCAGCAGGGAAGAAAAUGACGGUACCUGACUAAGAAGCCCCGGCUAACUACGUGCCAGCAGCCGCGGUAAUACGUAGGGGGCAAGCGUUAUCCGGAUUUACUGGGUGUAAAGGGAGCGUAGACGGUGCAGCAAGUCUGAUGUGAAAGGUCGGGGCCCAACCCCGGGACUGCAUUGGAAACUGUGGAACUGGAGUACAGGAGAGGGAAGCGGAAUUCCUAGUGUAGCGGUGAAAUGCGUAGAUAUUAGGAGGAACACCGGUGGCGAAGGCGGCCUGCUGGACUGUGACUGACGUUGAGGCCCGAAGGCGUGGGGAGCAAACAGGAUUAGAUACCCGUGUAGUC
rnacentral:rRNA from 1 species